rnacentral:rRNA from 1 species
AUACAGAAGGUGCGAGCGUUAAUCGGAAUUACUGGGCGUAAAGCGCGCGUAGGCGGCUUAUUAAGUCAGAUGUGAAAUCCCCGGGCUCAACCUGGGAACUGCAUCUGAUACUGGUAAGCUAGAGUUUUGGAGAGGGAAGUAGAAUUUCAGGUGUAGCGGUGAAAUGCAUAGAGAUCUGAAGGAAUACCAGUGGCGAAGGCGACUUCCUGGCCAAAAACUGACGCUGAGGUGCGAAAGCGUGGGUAGCAAACGGGAUUAGAAACCCUUGUAGUCC